UAUACACUAUUUAUCAGUUUAUACAGUUAUUAGUAUAAAUGUACAUUGAUUUAUAUACUACACACACACUCACACUCACACACUCAUGCACAAUCAUACUCCCACCUACACUCUCUCACACACACACUCACACUCACACUCACACUCACACUCACACUCACACUCAUACACACACACACACUCAUACUCACACUAACACUCACACUCACACUCACACUCAUACUAACACUCACUCACACACUCACACUUACACAGACUGACACACUCACACAUUCACACACUCACACGCACACUCACACUCACAACGACAUUCACACUUGCAAGCACACUCACACACUCUCACAUACACUCACACACUCACACUCACACUCACACUCACACUCACACACACACUCACACUCACACUCACACUCCCACUCCCAGUCACACUCACACUCACACUCACACUCACCCUCACACAGACACACUCACAACUCACACUCACACUCAUACAAACACUAGCAUUGACACUGACACUCACAGCUAUGUAUACUAUACAUGCGUGGUGUGUAUGGACUGAUGUGUGUAUAUUUACGAUAUGUAUAUGCAUAUCUUUUUGCGUAUAUGUAUACAGUUGCUUGCUAUCAGUUAUAUGCAAUUAUCGAUGUAUAUAUACACUGAUAUGCGCACACACAUGUACCCUUACGCGUGGAUAAGUGCAUAUAUAAUGUGUAUGUAUAUACUAAUACAUGCAUUCUAUAUACACUGACAUAUUUUACCAUAUUGACACUUAUCAGUAGUUUAUAUGUAUAUAUGAUGUGCAUAUAAAUGAUAUGUAUUUACUGAUAUGUUUAUGUGUGUAUGUAUAAACUUGCUAUCAGUUAUAUAUGCACUGAUAUGUGACACACAUGUGCACGCUCACCUAUUGAUAGUGCAUAUAUUUAUUUCUGUGUACACUGAUAUAUAUGACCAUAUAUAACACUUAUUAGUGUAUAUAUACAAUGAAAUGUAUAUACGCACAUUCAUAUACAUAUGUACAAAGGGUUUAUAUGUACACUUAUGUAAAAGACCAUGUAUAUACUUAUUAUCAGUGAUAUAUAUAGUUAUUCGCUCAAUUCGUAUACAAAUUGAUGUAUAGCAAUAUAGACCAUUGUUUUCAGUAUAUAUAUACAUACUGAUUCAUAUAACCAUACAAUACAUUAGUUAUCUGUUAUAUGUAUAGUUAUUAGUGUGUAAAAAAUACAUUGAUAUGUGUGUAUGUAUGCGUGUGAUGUCUGUAUAUAUAUGCUGUGUAUAUACUGAUAUGUGUGUAUGUUUAAAGUGCGUAACUGUAUAUAUACAGUACAUUAAUAUAUACAUUAGUAUAUAUGACGAUAUAUACAGUAUUUAUCAGUUUAUACAGUUAUUAACAUAUAUGUAUACUACACACACACUCGCACUCACACUCACCCACACACACACACUGGCGCUUACACUCACACUCACACUCACUCACACUCACAAAUAUAUAUACUACACAUAUAUGCGUGGUGUGUAUCGACUGAUGUGUGUAUGUAUAAUACGAUAUGUAUAUACUGAUAUUGUUAUGUAUAUGUAUACAAUUAUCAAUAUAUGUAUGCACUGAUAUGCGCAUGCACAUGCACCUUUACGCGUUGAUAAGUGUAUAUAUACUGUAUACACUAAUACAUGCAUUCUUUAUACACUUAUAUAUAUGACCAUAAGGACAUAUAUUAGCAGUUUAUAUAUAUACAGUGUGUAUAUAUACGAUAUGUAUAUAUUGAUAUGUUUAUGCGUGCAUGUAUAAACUUGUUGUCUGUUAUAUAUAACCAUGGUAUGCGCAUGCACAUGCACCCUUACGUAUUAAUAUUGCAUAUAUAUAUUUUUAUAUACACCGAUGUUUAUGAUCAUACAUACACUUUUUAUCAGUUUAUACAGUUAUUAGCGUAGAUGUACAUUGAUAUGUAUAUGAAUGCACAGGUGACAGUUGCAGCCAACAAGGUAAAGGGACAGAUCCCUUGCCCCCUCCUUUUUGAUUAGUUUUCCUCUCAAUUCGUACCAUUCGAAUCAUUAUCUUCUCUGUAAAUGAUUUUUCCUACCAUAUACAAUUUUCAAAUUGUGAUAAAAUCAGGUAUUAAAGAAGGAGAUUAUUUCUUCUGGCUAUCACGUCUAAUCAGAUAAGCUUAAGCGAAAUUCCAUAUUACUUUGUAUAGAAUUAGGCAUAAGAAUGGGUUUCUUCUCUUGAUGGAUUGGGUAUGCUAAAAUACCCAAUUGUGAUAGUCCAUCUAAAUUUUUUAUCAUAUAUUUGUACUUGUUUUUAUUAUUGUUGAUGAGCUUCAUCUUCAUUGAGUUUGCUUGUAAUUCAACAAGCAUGAAUGCAACUUAUCAUCGAAGCGGAUCUCUUUAUGUACACUGAUUUAUAUACUACACACACACACUCUCUUUCUCACUCACUCACACACAUACACACACACUCUCACUCACUCACAGACACACUCGCACUCGCACUCACACUCACAGAUAUAUAUACUACACAUAUAUGCGUGUUGUGUAUGGAUUGAUGUGUGCAUAUAUACGAUAUGUAUAUACUGAUAUGUUUAUACAUAUAUGUAUACUAUUGCUUGCAGUUUUUGUAUAACUUGAUAUAUGUACACUGAUAUUUAUAUAUGCACACUCAUAUGUACAUGUAUAAAGGGUUUAUAUAUAUACUAAUGUAUAAGACCAUGUAUUAUUCUCAGUGAUAUACACAAUGAUUAGAGCAAUUUGUGUACGUUGAUGUAUAGCAAUAUAUAUCAUUGUUUUCAGUGUAUAUACAACUAUUAGUGUGUAAAGAAUACAUUGAUAUGUGUGUGUGCGCGUGAUGUUUGUAUAUAUUCAAUGUGUGUAUACUGAUAUGUGUGUAUGUGUAAAGUGCAUAACUGUAUCUAUACAAUGCGCUAAUAUAUAUAUUUCUAUAUAUAUUGAUGUAUCAGUUCAUACAGUUAUUAACGUAUAUCUACAUUAAUUUAUAUGCUACACACACUCACUCACACUUAUGCUCACACUCACCACUCACACUCAUACACACACAGACACAUACACACUCACUCACACUCACACUCACACACACUCACACUCACACACACUCACACUCACACUCAUACACACUCAAACUCACAGAUAUAUAUACUACAGACAUACACACACUCACACUCACACACACUCACACUCAGUCACAGAUAUAUAUACUAUACAUGUUUAUGUGUUGUGUAUGGACUGAUAUGUGAAUAUAUACGAUGUGUUUAUACUGAUAUGUUUAUGCGAGUAUAUAUACAGUUGCUUGCCAUCAAUUAUAUACAAUUACCAAUGGAUAUAUAUACAUAUAUGCACACACACAUGCACCGUUAUGCGUUAAUAAGUGCAUAUAUAUUGUGUAUGUGUAUGCUGUUACAUGCAUUCUAUAUACAUUAAUAUAUAUGAUCAUAGAGACACUUAUAUAUAUAUAUAUAUAUAUAUAUACAGUGUGUCUAUAUAAGAUAUGUAUAUACUGAUAUGUUUAUGUAUGUAUACACUUGCUAUUUAUAAACACUGAUAUGCGCACACACAUGCACACUUGAUAAUGCGUACAUACAUUUCUAUAUAUACUGAUAUAUAUAACUAUAUAAACACUUAUUAUCAUUUCAUACAGUUAUUAGCGAAUGUUAUCAGUUUAUACAGUUUAUGCCUUUAUUGACUUAUACGUACACUGAUUUUUAUACUACACACACACACACUCACACUCAUACUCACACUCACACUCACUGACAAUCACACUGAUACUCACAAAUAUAUAUACUAUCACCUCUAAUCUGAUAUGCCUCGCGAAAUUCCAUAUUACUUUGUAUAGAAUUAGGCAUAAGAAUGGGUUUCUUCUCUUGAUGAAUCGGGUAUGCUAAAUACCCAAUUAUGAUAGUCCAUGUAAAUUUUUUUUCAUCAAGUUUUCUCAUAAAUCAACAACCAUGAAAGCAAGUUAUCAUAGAGGUGGAUCUCUUUACGUUAUUCAAUAUACGUGAUCUUGAUUCUGCAAUCUUGAUUUGCUUAAUGGUUCUUUUUUCUCUAGUAUACUACCGCUCUUUCUUCUUUCAUGCAAAUAUGGAGUAAAAUUUCAGGAGCUUUUCUUGUGGUUUGCAAUUUUGUUAACUUUUUCUUAACACACACAAACUCUUGCUUCCUUGAUGCAAAUAUGAAGUGAAUUUUCUGGAGCUUUACUUGUGGUUUGCAAUUUUAUUAAGUUACUUGUUCUUAACACACACAUACUCUUGCUUCUUUCAUGCAACUAUGGAGUGAAUUUUUUGGAGCAUUACUAUUGGUUUCCAAUUUUAUUAAGUAACUUUUUCUUAACACAGGCACACACACACACCACACACACUCACAAACACACUCACAUACGCACACACACUCACACACACACAUAAGCACACACACUCACACACACACUCUCGCACACACACACUCGUACUCUCACUCAUACACUCGCACUCACACUCACACUCACACCCACACCCACAUACACACUCACACACCCACACUCACACACACUCACACACUCACACUCACAUUCACAUUCACACUCGCACUCACAGACACCCACACUCACACACCAUACACACACUCAUGCUCACACUCAUACUCAUACACACACACACACUCACACUCACUGUCACUCUCACUCUCACUUUCACUCACUCACACACACUCACAAUCACACUCGUUCACACACAAGCUCACACACUCACACUCAUACUCAUACUCGCACUCAUACUCAACUCACAAUGACACUCACACACUCACACUCACACUCACACUCACACACACACACACCACACACUCAUACUCACACGCACACACACUCAUACUCACACUCACACUCACACUCAUAUAGACUCACACUCCCACAUUCACACACACACUCAC
rnacentral:lncRNA from 1 species